UACGUAGGGGGCAAGCGUUGUCCGGAUUUAUUGGGUUUAAAGGGUGCGUAGGCGGUCCUGUAAGUCAGUGGUGAAAUACUCUAGCUUAACUAGAGGGGUGCCAAUGAUACUGCAGGACUUGAGUACAGAUGAGGUAGGCGGAAUUGACGGUGUAGCGGUGAAAUGCAUAGAUAUCGUCAAGAACACCUAUAGCGAAGGCAGUUUACUGGGCUGUAACUGACGCUGAGGCACGAAAGUGUGGGGAUCAAACAGG
rnacentral:rRNA from 1 species